rnacentral:lncRNA from 1 species
UCGCGCUCCGGCGGGGCGGGGAAAGGCUGGAGAGCUCUUAUCCCCGCUCCGUUAUUAGCCCUGCGGGGAAAGGAGGCGGGAGGCAGCGAGAGGAGGGUUAGCAGCCCCUCCGCGUCCCAGCUGACAGCUUCCAAGCAGCCAUUUUUAAAGGCUAAUUGUCACCGCCGCUCGGAGCCGCCUCCCGCCCCUCGGCCCGCGUGGAUCCGUCCCUCGCUGGGAGGGGGGUCCGGCGGGCUGACCGCCCCCCCGAGGCUCCCGCGGCCGCCUCUGCCGCCCACGCUUCCAGAACAGGAGCCAGGGGAAGCUGGAGCGGCACCGGGAAUGCAGCCCGGACCCCCGAGACGAGCCCGCCCCGUCCCGUGCUCCUUGGCGGCCCCGUUCUCCUGGCAGAGCGGCCGGGGGCUCGGAUGUUCCCCGCUCUGCUGCCUUGGUUCCUCUGCUCGCCUCAGGUCCUGCAAAGUUCAGAGGCGGUUUGCCUUGAAGUCCUCCCCGCUGGUAGCAGGCCAUGGAUGAAGAAUUACAGGAUAAAUUACAAUUUGGCUUCAGGUCCAUUUAAAGGCGAAAGAUGCUCCAGAAAAGCAGAGACCAGACAGCACCAAGUUCUAUCAGCAGUGAUAAUGACAUCUUUGCUACUUGAAACACAUCUCUACUUUCAAAUAAAAAUCUACCAAGCCAAGGAAUAAAAUCAUGUUAUAUUUUUCUAUAUUCUUUUCUACAUUCUUUCUGCACAAAAAAAAAUUAAAUAGACAAUCUGAUAGCAUUUCCAUCUAUGACAGAACCAAUCUGCCGACAUUGAUCUUGACUCUGAGUAUGAACCUCUUAUUUUUUAAAAUACAAAGUUUUUAAAAGUCUUCCUACUGAAUAGAUGUGUAGUUUUAUGCCAUGCUGAAACCUUGAUGCAUCUUGCACUGACAUUUCCCACUGCAAAUGUCGCUUCUGCUGAGGUUUUUUUCUGCAUUCAUUCAGCUGCCUUUUAUUUUCCCUGCUAUUCCUUCUGGAGUUUUUCACAAUCCUGGUUAAUCUUGACUAAGCUAGGGCAUUUUUUCCUUGUCAGCAAAGCUCCAUCUCACA